AGCGAACGCUAGCGGCGGGCUUAACACAUGCAAGUCGAACGAGACCUUCGGGUCUAGUGGCGCACGGGUGCGUAACGCGUGGGAAUCUGCCCUUCGGUUCGGAAUAACUCAGGGAAACUUGAGCUAAUACCGGAUAAUGACGUAAGUCCAAAGAUUUAUCGCCGAAGGAUGAGCCCGCGUAGGAUUAGCUUGUUGGUGGGGUAAUGGCCCACCAAGGCGACGAUCCUUAGCUGGUCUGAGAGGAUGAUCAGCCACACUGGGACUGAGACACGGCCCAGACUCCUACGGGAGGCAGCAGUGGGGAAUAUUGGACAAUGGGCGAAAGCCUGAUCCAGCAAUGCCGCGUGAGUGAUGAAGGCCUUAGGGUUGUAAAGCUCUUUUACCCGGGUACUGAUAAUGACAGUACCGGGAGAAUAAGCUCCGGCUAACUCCGUGCCAGCAG
rnacentral:rRNA from 1 species